GACGAACGCUGGCGGCGUGCUUAACACAUGCAAGUCGAACGGAAAGGCCUCUUUCGGGGGGUACUCGAGUGGCGAACGGGUGAGUAACACGUGAGUAACCUGCCCUUGACUUUGGGAUAACUUCAGGAAACUGGGGCUAAUACCGGAUAGGAGCUCCUGCUGCAUGGUGGGGGUUGGAAAGUUUCGGCGGUUGGGGAUGGACUCGCGGCUUAUCAGCUUGUUGGUGGGGUAGUGGCUUACCAAGGCUUUGACGGGUAGCCGGCCUGAGAGGGUGACCGGCCACAUUGGGACUGAGGUACGGCCCAGACUCCUACGGGAGGCAGCAGUGGGGAAUAUUGCACAAUGGGUGGAAGCCUGAUGCAGCAACGCCGUGUGCGGGAUGACGGCCUUCGGGUUGUAAACCGCUUUCGCUCAUGACGAAGCUUUGUGUGACGGUAGUGGGUAAAGAAGCACCGGCUAACUACGUG
rnacentral:rRNA from 1 species